GUGGGGAAUUUUGGACAAUGGGCGCAAGCCUGAUCCAGCAAUGCCGCGUGCAGGAAGAAGGCCUUCGGGUUGUAAACUGCUUUUGUCAGGGAAGAAAUCUUCUGGGCUAAUACCCCGGGAGGAUGACGGUACCUGAAGAAUAAGCACCGGCUAACUACGUGCCAGCAGCCGCGGUAAUACGUAGGGUGCGAGCGUUAAUCGGAAUUACUGGGCGUAAAGCGUGCGCAGGCGGCUUUGCAAGACAGAUGUGAAAUCCCCGGGCUCAACCUGGGAACUGCAUUUGUGACUGCAAGGCUAGAGUACGGCAGAGGGGGAUGGAAUUCCGCGUGUAGCAGUGAAAUGCGUAGAUAUGCGGAGGAACACCAAUGGCGAAGGCAAUCCCCUGGGCCUGUACUGACGCUCAUGCACGAAAGCGUGGGGAGCAAACAGGAUUAGAAACCCGAGUAGUCC
rnacentral:rRNA from 1 species